rnacentral:rRNA from 1 species
GACGUGACGAUACCGAAGUGCCGAGGAGCUUCGGUUGGUCCCGGAUAGCCGGCUCCGGCCGGUAGGAGAGCCUUUCGCUACGGGUCUGGNGCGCGGCCGGAGGAUGGUCGCCCCUCUCCCAUUGCGCAGUUCAUGUUUGUGGAGAGCCCGGUGCUAAAUCACUUGCAGACGACCUGAUUCUGGUUCGGNNUUUCGUGCGUAGCAGAGCAGCUACCUCGCUGCNAUCU